AACGCACCUUGCGCUCCCCGGCAUUCCGGGGAGCAUGCCUGUUUGAGUGUCAUGAAAAUCAUCAACCUCACCGUUGACGCGGUGAUGGAUUGGACUUGGAUGUUUGCUGGGGCCUUGGUUGCCUCGGCUCAUCUCAAAUGCAGCAGUCGAUUCACUUGACCUCGACCGCUCGGUGUGAUAGUUACAUCUACGCCGGGUUUCGGGAGGACAAGCGGCUUCUCAACCGUCUCCUUUUGGGACAAAUGUUUUCAAACCUCUGACCUCAAAUCAGGUAGGACUACCCGCUGAACUUAA
rnacentral:misc_RNA from 1 species